rnacentral:rRNA from 1 species
GUGGGGAAUAUUGCACAAUGGGCGAAAGCCUGAUGCAGCGACGCCGCGUGAGCGAAGAAGUAUUUCGGUAUGUAAAGCUCUAUCAGCAGGGAAGAUAAUGACGGUACCUGACUAAGAAGCACCGGCUAAAUACGUGCCAGCAGCCGCGGUAAUACGUAUGGUGCAAGCGUUAUCCGGAUUUACUGGGUGUAAAGGGAGCGCAGGCGGUGCGGCAAGUCUGAUGUGAAAGCCCGGGGCUCAACCCCGGUACUGCAUUGGAAACUGUCGUACUAGAGUGUCGGAGGGGUAAGCGGAAUUCCUAGUGUAGCGGUGAAAUGCGUAGAUAUUAGGAGGAAGACCAGUGGCGAAGGCGGCUUACUGGACGAUAACUGACGCUGAGGCUCGAAAGCGUGGGGAGCAAACAGGAUUAGAUACCCGAGUAGUCC